rnacentral:rRNA from 1 species
UGAUCCCUGGCUCAGGAUGAACGCUGGCGGCGUGCUUAACACAUGCAAGUCGAACGAUGAUCCCAGCUUGCUGGGGGAUUAGUGGCGAACGGGUGAGUAACACGUGAGUAACCUGCCCUUAACUCUGGGAUAAGCCUGGGAAACUGGGUCUAAUACCGGAUAUGACUCCUCAUCGCAUGGUGGGGGGUGGAAAGCUUUAUUGUGGUUUUGGAUGGACUCGCGGCCUAUCAGCUUGUUGGUGAGGUAAUGGCUCACCCAAGGCGACGACGGGUAGCCGGCCUGAGAGGGUGACCGGCCACACUGGGACUGAGACACGGCCCAGACUCCUACGGGAGGCAGCAGUGGGGAAUAUUGCACAAUGGGCGAAAGCCUGAUGCAGCGACGCCGCGUGAGGGAUGACGGCCUUCGGGUUGUAAACCUCUUUCAGUAGGGAAGAAGCGAAAGUGACGGUACCUGCAGAAGAAGCGCCG